rnacentral:rRNA from 1 species
UGGUUGAUCCUGCCAGUAGUGUAUGCUUCUCCUAAAGACUAAGCCAUGCAUGCUCUGAAUAUGAGGAAGCAAUUCUCUCUGAAUCUGCGAACGGCUCCGCAAACCAGUUGUAAACCACAGCAAGCUUGUUCAGGUCCGGCUUCGGUUGGGCCUGGACGAAACGGAUAACCCUGGUAAUUCUGAGGCUAAUACGUGUAUGGAACACCCGGUGGACUGGCUUAUGCUGGAAAGCCGGGAGACGAGUGAUUCAAUGCUUGGGUUAUUCCGGGAGGGGGUGCUCGCCUUGACCGCGCUACAAAGGACGGCCUUUCGGGGUCUUCCCAGCGGCUCUUGCGCGGUGCUUCUGACCUAUCAACUAGACGGCAGCGUAAUGGACAUGCUGUGGUUACAACGGGUACAGAGGAUUAGGGUUCGAUCCUGGAGAGUGGGCCUGAGAGAUUGCUCAUACUUCUAAGGAAGGCAGCAGGCGCGCAACGUUCCCCUUGGGCAAUGCUCGAGGGCGUUAGGGGACAUAUGAAUGCCUGCCCAUUGGGUGGGCAAUUCAAAUGGGUCUGU